rnacentral:rRNA from 1 species
UUUAUGGAGAGUUUGAUCCUGGCUCAGGAUGAACGCUGGCGGCGUGCCUAAUACAUGCAAGUCGAGCGAACAGAUAAGGAGCUUGCUCCUUUGACGUUAGCGGCGGACGGGUGAGUAACACGUGGGUAACCUACCUAUAAGACUGGAAUAACUCCGGGAAACCGGGGCUAAUGCCGGAUAACAUGUUGAACCGCAUGGUUCUACAGUGAAAGACGGUCUUGCUGUCACUUAUAGAUGGACCCGCGCCGUAUUAGCUAGUUGGUGGGGUAACGGCCUACCAAGGCGACGAUACGUAGCCGACCUGAGAGGGUGAUCGGCCACACUGGAACUGAGACACGGUCCAGACUCCUACGGGAGGCAGCAGUAGGGAAUCUUCCGCAAUGGGCGAAAGCCUGACGGAGCAACGCCGCGUGAGUGAUGAAGGUCUUCGGAUCGUAAAGCUCUGUUGUUAGGGAAGAACAAAUGUGUAAGUAACUGUGCACAUCUUGACGGUACCUAACCAGAAAGCCACGGCUAACUACGUGCCAGCAGCCGCGGUAAUACGUAGGUGGCAAGCGUUAUCCGGAAUUAUUGGGCGUAAAGCGCGCGUAGGCGGUUUUUUAAGUCUGAUGUGAAAGCCCACGGCUCAACC